AGAACGAACGCUGGCGGCGUGGAUAAGACAUGCAAGUCGAACGCGACUUAUCAGGUUAGCAAUAACUCGGUAAGUUGAGUGGCGAAAGGGUGCGUAACACGUGGGAAUUUACCAAGAAGUGGGGAAUAGCUCGACGAAAGUCGAAUUAAUACCGCAUACGAUCGAAAGAUCAAAGCCGGGGACCGCAAGGCCUGGCGCUUUUUGAGAAGCCCGCGGCCCAUCAGCUAGUUGGCGGGUAAAAGCCCACCAAGGCUAUGACGGGUAGCUGGUCUGAGAGGACGACCAGCCACACUGGAACUGAGACACGGUCCAGACACCGUACGGUGGCAGCAGUCGAGUAAGUUUUUUCACAAUGG
rnacentral:rRNA from 1 species